AACCUCUGUGGCAUCUGACCCUGUUUGACAGAGGUCAGAAGUAUGAUUCUUCACCCAGCUGUCUCCCUGAAGGUGUCCAGGAGGAAAGAAGUGACAUGGGAGAAUAGUCUGUUCAUCCACUCCUAGAACAGAUAGCUAAACCUGUGUGACUCCCAUUUAACGUCACAGACAGCUUGGAGGAAAUAACUCUUCUAGCUGCCUGCAUCUAGACUGUUCUAAAAAUGAGUAGGAGAGAAGGCAGGAAGCCAAGAGCAAGAGAGGCAGGAUACAGAGAAAAGAAUACAUGUAGGACUGGAAAACUGGCCUGCGUGAAAAUUCCUGAUGCACCUACCAAAUGGUCUUAAGAUCUGACUGCUGAUUUCUCUACCUAACAAGAGACACUGACAACAUAUCUAAUACCAGAAUAAAUGGGAUAGAAGGAUAGUUGACACAGAGAUGUGAGAUGCGGAUGAGAAAUUGGAGCAGUUUCUGUUACUCAAAGUUCUUCCUCACUCUCUGGUGCCUGUUGCAGAGUCUCAGAUGAGAUUUUUUUACUUCUGAAAAUUAUUUCCUGGGUCACAGUGAAAAGGAGAAAUAGAGAAAACCUCUAGGUCUAGAGAUGCUGGAGGCCCAGAUAAUCUAGCUUAUUCCCUCCCACUCCUGCUCAAAGUCAGCUUCAUUUCAACCCCUGCCACCUUACCUGGUUGACCUGCCUGAGCCAUUUGUACCCCACUGAGCAUUGGCUGCUGCUGGCUUGGAGCUCCUGCCAUCUGCACCUGCUGUAAUCCUGAGGUUCCUGCAAGGAUCGUCCCAGCUCCUGGCUGGCCUGCCUGGCCAGGACCACUGCUGCCUGAAGGUCUCCAAUUAGAUAGUCCUUUCCCAAAGGCAACAGCUGCCACCAAGGCAUUAGUGUCUGUAGGGUUAAAGGUCUGCUUGUUCGGCCGGAGACCUGAAGAAAAAGUAAUGGGGAUCCUGAAGUAUGCUUCUGAUGCAGGACUGAACGUGGCAGCUGGAAGACCAGUAUGAGUGCCAGGGUUUGGAGUUCUGAAUUCAGCAACAUCUAGACUCCCUCACAGCCCAGAAAAAGAGCCAGAGGACCCCCAAGCCUAUCUCAGAAUUCUCUCUUCUUACUUUGCCCAUUUCCUCCACUGCUUCAGUGCUGGCCUUAAAUACAAAAGGCUAACAGAAUGGAUACAAACCCCAAAGCAGUUCACCCUUGUGUCCUAACUUCACUACUUCCAAAACAACCAUUCCCAUUCCAGUGAUCUUAUAUACCUCUCCUUCUCUGUUUAGCCACCAGUCCCAUCAUACCUCCACUCUCUGAUUCUCGCUCCUCUUUGCUGAUUUUCUCCAGAAGGUUUGAACACAUUUUAUUCAAGCUCUGGAUCUGCUUCUGUAACACACAAAUUUGUGCAGAGAUUAGGGUAACUAGGAAACGAUAUGGAGAAAUUUAUUCCUUGGGUUCUGCCAGAAGCAACUUAGGCGCAACCAACUAUGUAUCCCUACUAGACAGGAAUGGUAAUGCCUAGCCUCUCAUGAUGGGAUGGGGAUGGGGCAGCAAGGCAGUGACUCAGUCCAACCUGGGCUGCAUCUGCACCAAUGCGGGCAGCAUCUGUCGUCAGUUGCUUCUCCUGUUCUUCCACUUCAGGGUCAGGCUUGGUUCUCAGAUGGUCAGGGACUACCUCAUGGCUGAAAACAGGCACCCGUCCUUCAGUCUGCCGCUGUAACACACAGAUUUUAUUGAUCCUACUCUGUACUCCAAGAAGAUUCUAUCUGGCCUGACAUAAAGUCCCAUCCACAGGCAAACAGUGCAUUUUCAAGAAAAAUACAACCUGAGACAUAAUAUCUAGUUUGCUAGGACACACUCUCCUUUACUCCAUCCUUCAUUUUUUGUGUCUUCUCACAUCCCUAUCUCUACCAGACCUAGGGGCAAAUUAAACUAUCACUGUCUGCCACGCUUCAAAGACUGGAAUAGACAAAGUCACAAAAGGGCAAACUUUGUGGCUUGAGACAGAUGUUGGAGAAGAAAGGUAUCAGCCUUGGUGACAUACCCCUCAGGUUAUUACAGCACUAUUUGGGAGUGGCUCUCCCGCCUUCAGAAGAACAAAAAGCAAGGCCUCCAAAAUUAUUUCUAGGCUCUCAGCUAAUAACUUAAUUUCCCUAAAUACUAAAGAAGCCUAAAAAACCCCUUAAUUUCCCAAGUUGUAUUCUUUUUCUCCUCUUACCAUGAGAUCUUCAUCUCGGUCUGGAGACAACACCAGAGGAAUGAUGACCUGGUUACGGAACAGCGGUGUUUUUUCAUGCUUCAAGACCUUGUUCAGAGUGUUCAGCUGUCCAGAAAGCAAGGCAAAGUUGUCCAGGACAGAUGGCCUGGUGGUGGUAACAAGGUACACCCUACACUCCCUCACUGAGACAUUUUCGACAGACCUAAUGCCGGGAGAUCAUUCUCUCAUGUGCACCUCUGUAGCACAUGCACUCCAGCUUCCUCCAUCGUAGCAUCUGUGAGCCUGGCUGUCUUGUCAGUCUCUGGGAAAUCUGCCUACUCAUGAAGACUUCUCUGAAUACCAGUCCUGCUCUCCCCUUUCCUUCCCCCCACCAACGACUCCAGCUUUCCAUCUGCUCUCAUCAUUUUGUUUCAACCUUCUCCUUCCUGAAUUAAUAUGCACUCAUCUAUCUCUGUGUCAAUAUUCCCGUGCCUCUUUCACAAGCUCAGUCAACCCAUUAACAUUUAUUGAGACUACCAGCUGCAAGAAACUAAGUGACAAAUGAAAAACAAAAACCACACAUGCUUCUAAGCACUGGACAAACAAAUUAAAAUGCUGGGGGUCUGCAAAGCAUUUCCUUCCC